rnacentral:sRNA from 1 species
UUCGAAAGGGAUCAUGGUGGUCCACGUCAGAAGGUCUCCCUGCCUGGCUUCCUCCCAAAGGAGCAAUGAGAAACUUUAUUACCCUGGUGAAGUCGGAGCCCCAAGCCUCUCUUUGAUCGUCCCCACCGCUCUCUUUUAUUUCACUUAUAUUUUCAGAAUGCCGAGAUUCUUUUCCAAUUUCUACUACAUCAUUGUGAUUGUAAAGAAACACUUCGCCAAUUAUUUAACUCUGAAAGGAGAUCCACUGAAAAUAAGCAGGUGGACACAUUUCCCUGAG